CCUUGGGGGCAGUUAGCCACGUUCCUAAUGACAGCGUUCUCCCCAGAGACCCCCCUACCCCCGGCCCACCAGGAGCCUUAGUGACACAGGGGACUCGCACCUGCCACCUUGUCCUUUCCAACUGCUGAGCUUGCUCAGGACUUCUGGCAACAGCUGGAUGUGGAGAGAAGCACAAUAGAAAAUCCCACUGUUCCAGCAGCAGCACGUGUCAGAUACAAAGGCAGAUAAAAACACCGAAGUCCCUUCUCAGCCUAUCCCCGAGAUAACCAGCUGUCCAUUUUACAGCCUGGGCACUUUUGAGGUCACGGAAGUCACACACACUUCGAGAUGCCUCAGCCAAGAGCAUUCAUUUGUAACUGGAACUGUCACAUCAGAAUGACCACCUACAACAAGAUGUCCAGAUUUCACUCGGUGCCUCCAGCCACCCAAAGCCUUCUGCUCCCACCAUCCUUACUGCCUCCUGGUCCCAAGAGGACUGCUGCCGUUCCAGUCAUCACCUGUACAUUCCAGGAGGAAGCCCAGGGAAGUGGAAAGGCCGGUACUAUCCCCAAUCUGUUUACCAGGAGACACAGCUUUCCCAGAAGUUUCCACCUCCCUCCAGGCCUCAUCAGCCAGAGUUCCAUUACCUGGUUACCUCCAGCUGCCAGAGGUGUUAGAAGGGUGAGGAGUCGCCCAGAGAGGAAAGGAAACCUGGCGGGGCACGGCGACCGUGGGAUGGGCCAGGCUGCAGACUGGGCCGGCCCGCAGCGUUGCCCGAAAACCACGUCAGGUGUUCUUUAA
rnacentral:lncRNA from 1 species